rnacentral:rRNA from 1 species
CAGGAUGAACGCUAGCGACAGGCUAACACAUGCAAGUCGAGGGGCAGCACGGGAGUAGCAAUACAACUGGUGGCGACCGGCGCACGGGUGAGUAACGCGUAUGCAACCUACCUAUCAGAGGGGAAUAACCCGGCGAAAGUCGGACUAAUACCGCAUAAAACAGGGGCACCGCAUGGUGAUAUUUGUUAAAGAGAUUCGCUGAUAGAUGGGCAUGCGUUCCAUUAGGUAGUUGGUGAGGUAACGGCUCACCAAGCCGACGAUGGAUAGGGAACUGAGAGGUUGGUCCCCCACACUGGUACUGAGACACGGACCAGACUCCUACGGGAGGCAGCAGUGAGGAAUAUUGGUCAAUGGGCGGGAGCCUGAACCAGCCAAGUCGCGUGAAGGAAGAAGGAUCUAUGGUUCGUAAACUUCUUUUGCAGGGGAAUAAAGUGCAGGACGUGUCCUGUUUUGUAUGUACCCUGAGAAUAAGGAUCGGCUAACUCCGUGCCAGCCGCCGC